GUGCCAGCAGCCGCGGUAAUACGUAGGGUGCGAGCGUUGUCCGGAAUUACUGGGCGUAAAGGGCUCGUAGGUGGUUUGUCGCGUCGUCUGUGAAAUUCCGGGGCUUAACUCCGGGCGUGCAGGCGAUACGGGCAUAACUUGAGUACUGUAGGGGUAACUGGAAUUCCUGGUGUAGCGGUGAAAUGCGCAGAUAUCAGGAGGAACACCGAUGGCGAAGGCAGGUUACUGGGCAGUUACUGACGCUGAGGAGCGAAAGCAUGGGU
rnacentral:rRNA from 1 species